rnacentral:rRNA from 1 species
UUCUGGCUCAGGAUGAACGCUGGCGGCGUGCUUAACACAUGCAAGUCGAACGGAAAGGCCUGUACUUGUACAGGUACUCGAGUGGCGAACGGGUGAGUAACACGUGGGUGAUCUGCCCUGCACUAUGGGAUAAGCUUGGGAAACUGGGUCUAAUACCAUAUAGGACCACUUCUUGGAUGUUGUGGUGGAAAGCUUUUGCGGUGUGGGAUGAGCCUGCGGCCUAUCAGCUUGUUGGUGGGGUAAUGGCCUACCAAGGCGGCGACGGGUAUCCGGCCUGAGAGGGUGUACGGACACAUUGGGACUGAGAUACGGCCCAGACUCCUACGGGAGGCAGCAGUGGGGAAUAUUGCACAAUGGGCGCAAGCCUGAUGCAGCGACGCCGCGUGGGGGAUGACGGCCUUCGGGUUGUAAACUCCUUUCGCUAUCGACGAAGCCACCUUUGGUGGUGACGGUAGGUAGAUAAGAAGCACCGGCUAACUCCGUGCCAGCCGCUGC